rnacentral:rRNA from 1 species
GAUGAACGCUAGCGGCAGGCUUAACACAUGCAAGUCGAGGGGUAACAUUGGUGCUUGCAUCAGAUGACGACCGGCGAACGGGUGCGUAACGCGUAUAGAAUCUGCCUUGUACAGGAGGAUAGCCUUUAGAAAUGAAGAUUAAUACUCCAUAAUGUAUUAGCAUCGCAUGAUGCAAAUAUUAAAGAUUUAUCGGUACAAGAUGACUAUGCGUCCUAUUAGUUAGUUGGUAAGGUAACGGCUUACCAAGGCAGCGAUAGGUAGGGGGUCUGAGAGGAUUAUCCCCCACACUGGUACUGAGACACGGACCAGACUCCUACGGGAGGCAGCAGUGAGGAAUAUUGGACAAUGGGCGGAAGCCUGAUCCAGCCAUGCCGCGUGCAGGAAGACUGCCCUAUGGGUUGUAAACUGCUUUUAUACAGGAAGAAACUGCUCUACUGUGUAGAGUACUGACGUGUACUGUAAGAAUAAGCACCGGGCUAACUCCCGUGCCAGCAGCCGCGGUAAUACGGAGGGUGCAAGCGUUAUCCGGAAUCAUUGGGUUUAAAGGGUCCGCAGGCGGUCGAUUAAGUCAGAGGUGAAAUCUCACAGCUUAACUGUGAAACUGCCUUUGAUACUGGUUGACUUGAGUCAUAUGGAAGUGGAUAGAAUAAGUAGUGUAGCGGUGAAAUGCAUAGAUAUUACUUAGAAUACCGAUUGCGAAGGCAGUCCACUACGUAUGUACUGACGCUCAUGGACGAAAGCGUGGGGAACGAACAGGAUUAGAUACCCUGGUAGUCCACGCCGUAAACGAUGGGAUACUAGUUGUUGGAGUAAUUCAGUGACUAAGCGAAAGUGAUAAGUAUCCCACCUGGGGGAGUACGUUCGCAAGAAUGAAACUCAAAGGAAUUGACGGGGGCCCGCCACAAGCGGUGGGAGCAUGUGGUUUAAUUCGAUGAUACGCGAGGAACCUUACCAGGGCUUAAAUGUGGUCUGACAGCUUUAGAGAUAGAGUUUUCUUCGGACAGAUCACAAGGUGCUGCAUGGUUGUCGUCAGCUCGUGCCGUGAGGUGUCAGGUUAAGUCCUAUAACGAGCGCAACCCCUAUCGUUAGUUGCUAACAGGUUAAGCUGAGGACUCUAGCGAGACUGCCGGUGCAAACCGUGAGGAAGGUGGGGAUGACGUCGAAUCAUCACGGCCCUUACGUCCUGGGCUACACACGUGCUACAAUGGUAUGGACAAUGAGCAGCCACUUUGCGAGAAGGAGCGAAUCUAUAAACCAUAUCACAGUUCGGAUCGGAGUCUGCAACUCGACUCCGUGAAGCUGGAAUCGCUAGUAAUCGGAUAUCAGCCAUGAUCCGGUGAAUACGUUCCCGGGCCU